CGUCAAGAGUGGUCAGCGUCAAGCCUCCCGGCUUGCUGACCCGGCAACCGCGCCACCCGCGCACGGUGCCCCCGGGGGAAGACCAGGCCGACCGCAAGCCGCGGCACGGCAAGAGCGGGUG
rfam:Micromonospora lupini str. Lupac 08 genomic scaffold, 1951_scaffold4